GCUGGCAAGGGUAGCACAUCUCGCUGGAGCACACGUUGUUCCUGGCCAGAGGCCUCGGAUCGACCGGCUGGGCUCGGCGCUGCUGAGCAACGACGGUGGCGGGGGGUCAAGGGGAUCGUUGAGGACGCCAGCAACAGCCUCUUCAAACUACGCGUAAUCACUGUACCAUUGGCUGCAUCGGUUAUUUGUAUGAGAUUCACCCUCUUUGUGUUGAGGAAAGAGCCGGAAGGAGAGUACAUGGACGAGGAGGGGAAGAAUGACUAGGCAGAUUGCCCACAACUCUGCACAGAUCUUGGUGCUACUGCCUAUCAUCCAUAGCAUCUCCUCUUUUUACCACCAGCCACCACUACCACAAUGUUCCUCGCACAAAUCAGGUUGUCUCACCGGCCUACAGAACUUGGAUAUUUGCUACGACAGUCUGUUGGUUGAUGCCCAUCGAGAGUUCAAGACUAAUCCACACUAGACAUUCUUGAUUCCUUAUUAUUUGCAUUAUUUUUAGAUCCAUUACCUUCUUGCAUAUCAUCAUCUAUGCAGCACAUGCCAACAAGCUCUGUCGACGUGGUGCGUAUAUAGUAAUCUAACAAGGCAGUACACAUGUAUGCAAGCAGGUAUGCAUCAAUGGACAUAGGCUCCCAAUUAUCUUCUCGCUCUGUACUACUUAGACCACACGCAAGCACCCAUUAUAAGUGAUUUUCUAUGCAUCUCGAUUUCAUCCCAUAUCAAAGAUUUUUUAUCUUGAUUUUCUUAUGUAUAGCACAUGCAUAUUAGAGAAGUCACAUCCGCUCAAUUAUCAUGUAUCACAAAGUUAGGCAGUAGUAGAAUAAGAUCAUACAGCUGCCUGUUAUUUUAGAUAUUAUCAUGUAUAGUAAGGUGCCAGUUUGCAGGAAAUAAAGCACAAUUGUGACACGAAAAGUUUGAACAUAACCAACGCGGUUUUAUCUUGCAUUCAUGAGACUCGCCUUUAAAGUGUUAUCUUUCCACACACAGAGAUAUAUGAGACCAUGAGGGCAUCCUAUAGACAAAAAGGACAUUCGAGGAAUUAAAAAAUUGAAUCGUCUCCACAGAACAAACUGCAAGCUUUGAAAUCAUUGAAGUGUUGAUAAUUCCGUAAUCUCUUAACAUAGGCUGCCACCAUCAUGCUUUUCAGGUAGGCUAAUCCUUUUCUCCAUCAAGUUGUUCAUUGCGUUCACGACAGUGAGUAGCACAGAACCUAAACAAAUUCAUAAUAUUGUCUGUUGAUGUCCCCACCAUGAAGGCCCGGAGGCUCUGUUCAUAAUCACCUCUCGCCAUAUCCGGGGAGGAUUAUGGUCUAGGGCUCUAGGCAGAGCGGCGCAUGAUGCUGUAGUGUGGCUAUUGUCAAUGACACGGUCGUGAUGUUGUCCACUUUGUCCCGGUGGUUCGAAAGCAACGCAAUGACAUCAUGUUUCUUCUCCUCAGCGAGUUUAUUAUUUUUCAUAGACCUCAUGGUAUAAAUAUAAGUUCUUGAUUCUUCUUCCACUCGAUCAUAUUCAUCUGCAUCUACUUGGUUGAAAUAUAUUUUUUCCCGAGUGAAUACCUUGCUUCUGUACAACUGCUAUGUAGGAGCAGAGUACUGAGGGCUGAGGAGACAAGUGCUGGAGAGGGUGGCAUGCAUCAGGAUGAGGGAAGAAAGUGCUGGAGGAUGUAAACAUUUGGCGGAACAUGUAUAUAGUGGUUCU